rnacentral:rRNA from 1 species
UACAGAGGUCCCAAGCGUUGUUCGGAUUCAUUGGGCGUAAAGGGUGCGUAGGUGGCGCCGUAAGUGGGGUGUGAAAUUUCGGAGCUUAACUCCGAAACUGCAUUCCAUACUGCGGUGCUUGAGGACUGGAGAGGAGACUGGAAUUCAUGGUGUAGCAGUGAAAUGCGUAGAGAUCGGGAGGAACACCUGUGGCGAAGGCGGCCAGCUGGGCCGGACCUGACGCUGAGACGCGAAGGCGUGGGGAGCGAACGGG